CCUACGGGAGGCAGCAGUGAGGAAUAUUGGUCAAUGGACGAGAGUCUGAACCAGCCAAGUAGCGUGAAGGAUGACUGCCCUAUGGGUUGUAAACUUCUUUUAUAAAGGAAUAAAACGAGGCACGUGUGCCUUUUUGUAUGUACUGUAUGAAUAAGGAUCGGCUAACUCCGUGCCAGCAGCCGCGGUAAUACGGAGGAUCCGAGCGUUAUCCGGAUUUAUUGGGUUUAAAGGGAGCGUAGAUGGGUUGUUAAGUCAGUUGUGAAAGUUUGCGGCUCAACCGUAAAAUUGCAAUUGAUACUGGCAGUCUUGAGUACAGUUGAGGUAGGCGGAAUUCGUGGUGUAGCGGUGAAAUGCUUAGAUAUCACGAAGAACCCCGAUUGCGAAGGCAGCUUACUAAACUGUGACUGACAUUGAUGCUCGAAAGUGUGGGUAUCAAACAGGAUUAGAUACCCCUGUAGUC
rnacentral:rRNA from 1 species